UUGACAUCCACCCUGACUUUUGGUUAAUUCUUCUAGUCUUGGCUGGGACUUGGAUGCUUGCCUCUGAUAAAGUGGCUCAUCUCAAAAUGAUUUCGGAUUGACUCUGUCUGCAGUCGGUUUGACUUGGCGUUAUAAGUUAUUUCGCUAAGGACAUCUCCGGAUGGCCGAUUAAUGAUUGCUGUCUAGUGCUGUGUGUGUCCCCACACUACCAGUGCAACCCAUCCUUUGACC
rnacentral:misc_RNA from 1 species